UACGGAGGGUGCAAGCGUUAUCCGGAUUCACUGGGUUUAAAGGGUGCGUAGGUGGGUUGGUAAGUCAGUGGUGAAAUCUCCGAGCUUAACUUGGAAACUGCCAUUGAUACUAUCAGUCUUGAAUACCGUGGAGGUCAGUGGAAUAUGUCAUGUAGCGGUGAAAUGCUUAGAUAUGACAUAGAACACCCAUUGCGAAGGCAGCUGACUACGCGGAGAUUGACACUGAGGCACGAAAGCGUGGGGAUCAAACAGG
rnacentral:rRNA from 1 species